rnacentral:lncRNA from 1 species
GAUCUUGCAGGUAUUUUAAACACAAUAAGUCCUCAAGACAAAGUACAAGAGGAAAAUCCAAAAGAAAUUCAAGAUGAAAUCUUGGAACAAUUAUCUGAGGAAGCGCCACCACUGGAGAAAGAAACGAAACUGCCUAGCGCGUGGAGGACAAUCAAAGACCAUCCUCUCGACAAGGUAAUUGGCGUCAUUGAACAAAAGGUAAGUACUCGAAACAAUCUUAAGAACACCUUAGGACAUACUGCUUU